ACCUUACGUCAUGUUGGCUGUCGUGAUUCUGGUUAAUUUCUUCGCAAAAUGGUAAUAUUUUUCAUCCUUCCAAGUAAAAUAUUGUUAGUGUCUUACAGUCUAUCAAGUGUUGUUGACUCAGUGAACAAUCAAAAUAGAGCUGAGUUUGUUGCUUUGUCAUUAUGCAAAGAUUCUUAUUUGGUUAGGGGAAAAGAUUCUACAAUCGAUGCAUAAUUUGCGUAUGGUGCUCAGUAAACAUAGUAUUUCUUUUCAAUUAUUUCUUAAGCAAAAUUAAGGUCACCCCUGUCUACCCUACAGGUUACUCAGGAAUACAAUUUGUGUUUACAAAACGUUCAGCUAGCUAACUUACAUCGUGGUUUACUAAUGAGAAACCUGCAAUUUUUCAGAAUGGUCUGUUUAGAAAAUUUGUUUCUGGCAAUUUUCAAGCUACUUAAUAUUUAUCUUUUUCAUCAAAUUGGAAACCCCACUAGAAAUGAAAACCACAUUUUCUUUUGACAUCUGAUUAACCGGCCAAAUGGAGGCCAUUGUCAGCAGUUUUAAUUUAGGUUGUUUUUAUCGAGCGUCAGUCCUCAGCCAAAUAUUAAUAUACCGUCUCAUCGACAUUGACGCCCAUUUCUGGAAACAAAGGCUGAUAAGCAAAGUUGGAAUCAACAGUUGGAACAGAAAUGGCGCAAUAAAACCCGACAUGAUACGUUUAGUACGCCUUGGAAGUUGUUGCACUGAUUUUAGUCAACAUUGAUGAUGUAUUGUGCCGGGGUGUGUUACCUGAAAAAUCACAAACUAUCCACUCGUCGAUCCGAGUGUAGCGCAUGCGAUGUCUGCGGUUUCCUUCCAUUCCGAUUCAACAAAUAAGUUUCCUGGUUUGCCAUUUUGUUGUUUCUCAUCUUUCGUUUCGUACAAGUUGUAUUCUUUUGCGCUUUUGCGCGUACAGAUGUAGACGAAAGGAUUUGGCGAAUAUAAGAAAUGAUGA